GCCGGUGCGGGGGCCAAUGGGAACGCGUGUUGUUGGGCGGUCGGGAGCGUGAGCGCGGCCCGGGCAGGAGUUGUGUGUGGUGGGGGGGGGAGCUCCGUCCGGCCGUGGCUGAGGGCGCCGCCGCCGCCGCCAUGAGCUCCAUCGGUACCGGGUACGAUCUGUCAGCUUCCACGUUUUCUCCAGAUGGCAGAGUAUUUCAAGUUGAAUAUGCUAUGAAAGCUGUGGAGAAUAGUAGUACAGCAAUUGGGAUAAGAUGCAAAGAUGGUGUUGUCUUUGGAGUAGAAAAACUAGUUCUGUCCAAGCUUUAUGAAGAGGGUUCCAAUAAACGUCUCUUUAAUGUCGAUCGCCAUGUUGGAAUGGCAGUAGCAGGACUUCUGGCAGAUGCUCGUUCUUUGGCAGACAUAGCUAGAGAAGAGGCUUCUAACUUUAGAUCCAACUAUGGCUAUGAUAUUCCACUGAAGCAUCUUGCGGACAGAGUGGCUAUGUAUGUGCAUGCAUACACACUAUACAGUGCUGUCAGACCUUUCGGUUGCAGUUUCAUGUUGGGGUCCUAUGAUGACGAUGAUGGUGCACAACUGUACAUGAUUGAUCCAUCAGGAGUUUCAUACGGUUAUUGGGGGUGUGCCAUUGGUAAAGCCAGGCAGGCUGCAAAAACAGAGAUAGAAAAACUUCAGAUGAAGGAAAUGACCUGCCGUGAUGUUGUUAAAGAGGUUGCGAAAAUAAUCUACAUAGUUCAUGAUGAAGUAAAGGAUAAAGCUUUUGAGCUGGAACUCAGCUGGGUUGGAGAAAUAACCAAUGGAAAACAUGAAAUUGUUCCCAAAGACAUCAGGGAAGAAGCAGAAAAAUAUGCCAAGGAAUCUUUGAAAGAGGAAGAUGAAUCAGAUGAUGACAAUAUGUAACACAUUGUUACUUCAAGACAAGUUCAACUUUUCUUAACUUAGAACAGCUUUUAUUUCAAAAGAGUAUAGGCCAGCAUCAUUAAGAAGCAACUGUACUCUGUAUCAAAACAGACAUUAAGAAGGAAAGAUAUUAUCAGGCUGGUGUUGCUGCUUCUUAUUACAGCACUCCAUCUGACCCAGGCCAGGAGUUGAAAACAAGCUUUCCUGCUUUCUUUCCCCACUUCCUAGGAAAAAAGACUGUCUAUUCUAGUCACUUCAAAGUCUUGAAAGACAAGGUAACAAACCAUUCUGUUCACCACCUGAAAACUCAGUUAAAAUUGAAGUCUUGUUUGUACAUGCAGUUAAAAUUCUAUUGGUCAUCUUAAUCUGAAAUGCAUACUUUUCUGAUGAAUCAAACUCCUCAGCUUUAGUACUACAUGCUAAUGAUCACCAGCCCUUAAAACAAAAGCUUUCCCUUACAGGUUUGUGGGUUGGUUUUUUUUAUACAGUUUUUUCCUUUUGAAAAAAACACCUGGCCUUCUACAGUGUCUUUUCUAAUGGGAUUACAAGAUACAAGUUCUACCUCCUUGUUGUGACAAGGGAAAGUCACUAGAGAUAAAUGGGUCUGUCUUGGUACUUGGUGACUGGCUCAGGUUUAGGCCUUAGCUGCAGUCUAGCUACCUAACUCUUGCCUCUCCAGCUGAGCAUAGCUUUCAACGGCUGCUGGAACUCUCUCCAUCAGGCCUGCCUGAGCCAACAUUAACCAUGACUGUGACAGGCAACCUCUUCCACUGUCUCCUACUGAGGCAACAGUAUAGCUGUUACACUGAGUCAGCCUUUAGUUCUGUGUUGCAUUUCUCCAAACUGAAUCUCCUACAGAAGUUUACUGCUGAUUCAGCUGUUCGAGUUAUUAGUGACUGCCAAUCAGGAAACUCUUCAGCACUCCAAACAUUAGCUGAGGGCUGACCUUUCCAUCCUGCAGAGAGUCUACUUGAUUCUCUUCGUCUUUAUUCUACACCUGAAGUGUUGCUGACAAACUGCUAAAUGGAAGUUAAAAGCCAUCCAUCCAAUCCUUUCAGUGACAGCCAUUCAGAAUUAGGGACGGGAAGUAUAACAACAGUUACAGAAGUCAGGCUUCAGGGUUAAAUGAGAAGAGCAAGAAUAGUUGUGUAUAUUUACAAGAUAAAGUGGAAGGAAGAUGUUCCACAGUAUGUCAGAAGAUACAGGCAGGAACAGAACCACCUACUUGCUUAUUCAGAAUUUCCAAGUUGCCAUGGUCUCUAAUAAGUAGCUAUCUAAAAAGCUCCUUUGGAGAGCAUGCUCUGAUUUUUUGUUUGUUGUGGAAAAGCGUAAAGUCCAGUGAGAAACAAUUCAAGAGUAUGUGCAUUUUGCAGUGGAUAGUAGUACAUAACGGAGUGCUGCAUAGCAGUCUUCCCUGUCGUGGCAACAUGUAGUUAAACAAUACCAAGGUGACUAUUACUGUCAGGUUCUUUUCCAAAUUAAGUUAUCAGAAUGUAGGCUCAACCUGUUUAUGAGACUUGAUCUUUACCCGUGGUAAGGAAAAAAAAAAUCCUAUUACUUUCAUUUCCAUUAACUGCACAUGGAGAAAGAGGAAAAAUGAACAUUAGAAUGGGGGGAAAAAAUUGCAUUGAUUCAGGAGGGGGCGCAAGGAGGAAAAAAGCAGGAAAAUACUGAAUAAGCUAUUUUAGUAUAGAAAUUUCCCUGAACUUUACAAACAGAAAGCUAGCAGGCUUCUAUUUGAUCUGAAAUUAAGCAUUGCUACCUUUUAACAAUAAGGCCCAGGGAACAUUGGAAUAGAUUUCUAGUCCAGAAGGACUCUCAUUUCAGCAGAAAGACUACUGCAAACUCCCCAUUACAGCUAUUUUUGUAGCCUUAACCUAGUUGCAGUUCCAACUGGGAUAGCCAAUGAGACAAACCACAUUGCAUUUAACAAGUAACUUACUAAUUUGAAGCUAGUUACUUAAGAAUACUUAAUUAUACAUUUGUGCAGUAGCCAUCAUAAUGUUUCACUAAUUUAGUCCACACCUGAUAGGCUAAAUGUUGACUUUAAUGAAUUUUGCUACUGAGAAUUAGUAUUUACUUGUUCCUGUGUCAAACAGUGGAAGUUGAGCAGGGGAAGAAAUCUUUCAAAAAGAAGGAAGUGGCUUACACAGCUACUCAUGGCAACACUGACCACAUAAAGACUUAGAAAUGCAGUGGGACAUGACAGCAUUGUUAAACUUUGAUUAAAUUUUGAAGACCAUGUUUGUUUUUCUAAGUCUAUAGAGCUGUCUGAGGCAAAUAAUUUGGUGAAAGGUAAGCUCCAGAAGGGCUCAAGCUGGAUCUGAGAUUAUUAUUUAAGUGAGGACCAGAUCUGUUACAGAACAAGAGAAAAGAAUAUUAAAUCUCAAGAGAAAAAAAAGCGCUUACUUCUAGCAGAGGCUCUGUUGUAAGUACAGGACUGGGGGGGGGGCACAGAAAAUCUAGCUGUAUUAUAGAUACUCCCUUACCCUCCAGUCUUAAACAAUAUCUAGGAGGAAGAGUUUUGUUUAAGCCCAGAGGCCAACAACUGAUCAGGUAGCUAAACCACAAGAUUUGAAAGCUUCCACCAGUCAGUCCCCUGUAGCUUCAGCUGUGGGGCAUGUAUGCCCAGAGUCUGCAGAGGUGAUGCUCUAGAAGAGCUGUUCCUUGAAACAAAGAAUAUCACAUGCACCUACUUAAGUCUUAUUACUUUUGAGUAAGCUCACUCUGAGUAGUGAGUCUCUUAACAUGCCAAGGGACUAGGGCAGCCCAGUUUGGCUGACUUGAUUCAGAGCUGCAUGCAACAUACACAGGCUCAAUAUGAUGGCCCUAACAGCAGCGGUCUGUGACAGUGACCUCUGAAGGCUCCCAGAACCAGCCUUCAGCAGCAGAGGCAGCCUGCUUUCCUACAGAAGUAGGGCUUGGAUCCCCUUCCCUAAAAUUAGCUUUUAUAAUUGGCCUGAAAAUGUUCAAUUAUAACUUCAGAGUAACAUUGAAACGUGAAAAUGAAUUGCAAGACUAACAAAUGGGCAGGGUAAAAGUUUCUGUAUCAGAGAUCUGAGCAAAAGGUGAUUCUUCACAGUCUCAUUUGAAUUGUUUCUGCCCAAAGCUCUGGGAAGUUUCAGUUCUGAAGAUCUCAGAAAAAGCAUAAUUAGCCCAUACCAAGCACUUCUUGCUUCAGGCUCGACAAGUAACCUGCUUAGUCCAGACUGUAGCCAUUUAUGGGAAUACAUAAUAGAGCAGAAAGUCAAAUACCCACUUGGAAUGCGUAACUGCAGUUCUUGCCAUGCUGAAACAUUUUACAUUCUGGUUUUAAUGGCAUGUGCUGUUGCUUAAGAACCACAGCACAGGCUUUAACAGAACACCAGAAAGUAAGACUAUAUAGACCACCUCAUCUCUUAGCUUAAAGUCAUCUCUCCACUGAGUAUUUUAGAAAUACAUAGAUCCAACAGUUACACAAGAGUAGGCUGUACAGUAAGAUGCUUCCUCUUCCUUUAAGUCUCAUACAUCCACUGACUGUUACUCAGCAUCUGAUGAAUCACUACACUGAUAUUUAAUAGGACUGGAUGUGUCACAUUCCCUGUUAUAAUUAGUCAGCAAGUCCACAUACAGAAGCCUUGUUAAAAAGAAUUAAGAAGGGGGCUAUGGUGAACUGCAGAUG